UGUAGCUCAGUAGUAGAGUGCUUGCCUAGCAUUGUGCAAGAAUUUGGGUUCAACUCCCAGCA
rnacentral:tRNA from 1 species